rnacentral:rRNA from 1 species
GACGAACGCUGGCGGCGUGCUUAACACAUGCAGGUCGAACGGAAAGGCCCUGCUUGCAGGGUGCUCGAGUGGCGAACGGGUGAGUAACACGUGGGUGAUCUGCCCCUUACUUUGGGAUAAGCCUGGGAAACUGGGUCUAAUACUGGAUAGGACCAUGCUGUAGGUGGUGUGGUGGAAAGAUUAGUUUCGGUAAGGGAUGAGCUCGCGGCCUAUCAGCUUGUUGGUGGGGUAAUGGCCUACCAAGGCGUCGACGGGUAGCCGGCCUGAGAGGGUGGACGGCCACAUUUGGACUGAGAUACGGCCCAGACUCCUACGGGGGGCAGCAGUGGGGAAUAUUGCACAAUGGGCGCAAGCCUGAUGCAGCGACGCCGCGUGGGGGAUGACGGCCUUCGGGUUGUAAACUCCUUUCAGCCAUGACGAAGCCUUCGGGUGACGGUAGUGGUAGAAGAAGCACCGGCUAACUACGUG